rnacentral:lncRNA from 1 species
AUAUAAACAGGGGAGAUAUAAACAGGGGAGAUAUAAACAGGGGAGAUAUGAACAAGGGAGAUAUAGAGAAAGAAGAAACAGGACUGAAUAAACGUGUGCAGAAGGAUCCUGUUGCAGCGUCGUUCUUCCUGGCCAGUUGGGCGCGCGCAAGAAGUGGUGCCGAAACCCGGGACAAGAAACAUCUUCAGGCAUGAGCGAAGACCCCCUGCUACAGGGAGGAUUCAGAACUGCAUCACUGGGAAGGAGCGGUUAAUAAAGUGUUCCCGUAAAACAGACUGUUGAGAAGGAUCUGGCGUGGAUUCAGAACUCUUCAGCUGGGGAACGGUACUGAUGAAGAGAAAGAAGAAAGAUGAGGACUGAAUAAACUGCUGUUAGAAGGACUGGUGGUCGCAUCGUUCUUGCUGGUCGAGAGCAGGCGCGACAAUUGGUGGCCCAUACGGGGAACCGACUCCUCCGCCAGUUCAGAACUUUCAGCAGUCAGUGGUUGCCGGCAGGGUAAGUUCACGGACCAGAUGGAACCUCUUUGGGUGCCGGAGAGAUUGGUGAGACACUGCAAGAAUGAGGCUCCUGAUCCAGUUGCCCCUGUGGAUGUGGUGGAUGAUCCCACAAGCACAAAGGAUGGAGCCGAGAUGAGAGAUCCUUUCGGUAUUCCAGAAGCCGAUACCAGCUCGACAUGACAUUCAAAUUUUUCCAC